rnacentral:lncRNA from 1 species
GGUGUGUUCCCUUCAAGCGAUUGUACUGUUCAUGAUGUUUUGCGAGCGAGUAAUUGAGUUGAAUGUUGUGUUCGCAUGAGGGUAAUUGUGCAGACAGAUUUGAAGGUAAUAGCGGGAUGCUGCUACUGUUCACUCACCCGCUAAUAUGAUGAGAUUUGGAAGGAUAGUUUGGGAAGAGUCAGAACUACCCCUUAAUGUGAAACUAAUUCCAGUUGCAUUGUUUAAAAUAAAAACACAGCUACAUUGCUAUGUGUAACGCCCCGGCAACUUACAGGGACUGUUGACUGCCCCCAC